CAAUGAAGAGUCAGUGCCUAAAGGAGCUGCCUACAAGAAACGUCAAGGAGAAGAUGGAUUAGUCUUCAGGCUGGCUGGCUGUAACCCAAGCAUUCCAGGCCGAGUGCCCCUGCUAUACAUCAUCUGCAGAGAUGUUCAGAAGGUCAAUGAGGCAGGCAGCUUGAAACCUGCAGCAGGCUCUCAGGCUGGGACUCCCAAGGAUACUUGUUCUGAUGUCACAUCAGGAUGCUGAUUCUGUCAUGGUUUAUGCUUGCAGUUCCAGCAACACCAGAUGAAAACUUGAAGAAUGAAAGGAAUCCCCAGCAAAUAAACUGCUUUCUUCCCAUAAAGAGUAUGUAUCAUGGAAGCCACUUUUAUACCAUUG